UCCCCUGCCUACCUGUACCCGUCACUAACCCAGCCUUGCCCCCUGUGCAUCACCGUCUUUCUGUGCAGAGCAUCGUCCUUAUCAACGACUCACCCCGGAUCCUCCAAAGCGGAAAUUGAGCACAGAUGUGUCAGAUCUUUUUUUCAAUUAUUAUGGGAAGACGAUUGCCAGAUUUUUGGCCGUGGCUUUUAAAAGCACUCCGUGUCCUCAAUUUGCCAAUGUUUAAACCGUACAUCUCACCAAGUUUUCGUUAUGCUGAAUAAUGCUCCGAGGACUUUGUCCUGGAAAAAAAAAAUCAGGAGAAGAUUUCUGCACUUGAAGAUAGCACUGAGCGAUUGAAAGCGCUCUGGAGGGGCCUCCGUCUCAGCUGCAACGGCGCUCCCUGUGGGCUCGGGGCCAGGGCCAAGCCUCCCCCCAGCACCCGAUCUAUUUUAGGAACAUAAUAGAAAAAUAGUUGGCCACUUACUCAUUUGCAUCCUGUGCUCAAGAUGAAUCCUUCACCUCCAUCCCCCCAGACAAAGGACGGUUUGUAAAAUCUGCUACAAGCGGUUUCAAAAAUGCAGCUUUGUUUCAAGCAGAACAAAGAUUAUGUGGUUUUCCUCCUCAGAAACAUUUUCCUUAUGGUAAAAUGUGAUCACAACGCAAGAUAGGAUCCUUGGGACAAUCGACUGGAGACCCCCCACCCCGCCCCUGCCCGCCCGCAAAGCGCCUGGCAGAGUCCUGCACGGACAUGGGCAAAGGAGCACCUACUGUGUGCAGUGUGCCCAAGGGAGAGAAGACGGGGAGGGAGACCCGCUUCCUGUCCUCGUGGAGCUCAAGGCGGCAAAAGGAGCCACAGGCUGAGUCAAGUCCGGAACCGGCCUUCUCCCACAGAGCCUCUCCCUGGCCGGCCAGGAAGGAACCCCUGCCUCGGGCCCGGGGCUCUCAGCCAAGAACUCAGGAGGGUAGAGGGAAAAUUAUUGUUUCUCCCCUACAACCGUCUCUGUGGCCUCUUAGGAGACACCAGUCCUGUCACUCGGAGAAGGGGGCCCUGGACCCUUGCUCAGCACUGACCUUAGCUACCGACCAGAGCUGCUGGCUGUCCUGA
rnacentral:lncRNA from 1 species